AGGUUACAGAGGAUUCCCUCGGCCCCUACAGAGCCACUAGAGCCAGAACUGAAUCCCAUUCUGUGUGAUUCCAAAAACUGCUGCCCUGCUUCAGCCUGGGAAUUGAAACCAUCACUUAACUGACCCUGAUGUUGGCCAAAUCUUUUCUCUGACCUCAGGGGCUACAAAAAGAAGCUCCCUUUGUGAACUGUGUGGCCGUUACAUUUUGCGGUUACUUAUCUUCCUGGAACAUCUUGAAGCUGUCUCGCCUUGUGCAAACACCCUGCAGUAGUGACUGCACCACCCACGCCCCCGAAGAGAAACUUCCCGCCUGACUUCCCUAUCCCCAGCAUAUAAAUACCCCAGUGAGAACAGUAAAAAUUUGCAGCUUGAUCAGAACUCCUGUCUUGCUGUCACUCCUCAUGUCUCUUGUCCCUUCAUUCCUUCCCGCCUAGGUUUGCCACCCUCGUUGAUGUCCUGCAGGUCGGGACAUUUGGCGCCCAGCGUGUGCUCGAGCCUUUGACUGAGGGGGGAACGCCGUCCUCCGGGGAGACUUGGCCAAGCGGAGUUCGCGAUCGCCUCGGCAGACACCACUGAGAGACAGAUCCAGGAGGAGAGUGGGGACGUCGCAUGGACCGGACGGAGCCGGUGUGGGUUCCAGAACCCUGACAAGAAGAGUCCCGACAUCAAUCAACCAACAACAGGAGGCGCUGCAACAAUCUCAUGAUGAGGACCAUCCUUCUACUGAGUGUCCUGGUUUUAAUGCUGAUAUCGAUGGUACAGGGGAUAUCAAUGCAGUGGUGGGCGGUAGCUCGAACGUGGCCAAUGCCGAUGCCGGUUCAUAGCAAUUCUAGUGUUCUCCCC